AACUAAUUUUACUGCUACGAAUGUUUUCGGCAAUACUAUUCUGUUGCCAUCGUCAGGUUCUAAACGAUAACGGUUAGCGGUUCUAGAAUAGAAUGCGUAAGUACAAAUACAAAUAUAAUACAUAUAUGGUAAGUGAAUUACAAAUAAACGUAAAAAACAGAAAAAUAAAAUAUAUAAUGUGAAAACUAAAAAUAAAAAUAUUGAAACAGAAAUAUAGCUACAAAAAGAAAGAUAGAAAGAUAGCUACAAAAAGAGCACAGACCCUUUACAGUGCUCUGCUCAAUGAGGGGGAUCCACGAAUGAGUCUGGAUAGGUCAGGGGUCUACAUGCUCCCGGUCGGAUUUCCGGAUCAGAGUGGAGAGGGCACAUAUGUAGGAGUGACUGGUGGGACCUUGAGACGGGGGCUCGAGGAGCAUGGAGGCGAUGUUGAAGCUGGCAGAAUGGCAACUGCCUUGGCAGAACAAGCUUAUGCUAACCAUAUUGAUGGGCAGGUUGAAUGGGACCGGGUGGAGGUGAUGAAGACGAUUUGGUUGCCGUCGCAAGCUGUAAUCCAAGAGACUGUUGAGAUUUGGAAGAGAGGAGGGGGAGAUCGGAAGAGC
rnacentral:lncRNA from 1 species